AAUGGGCUUAAAUAUCACAUAUGUUUUGUUGGGCUAAAAAAUGGAUAUAUAAUAAAGCCCAAACACAAUAUCCAACUUUUACCAAUUUUAAUUACAAGCAACUACAAAUUAAUAUUUAAUUGAAAUCUUUAUUAAAUAAUAAAAAAGAAAAAUAUUAAUAUGUGGGAUUGUCUAAACACAUGAUUUAUAGCCUUAGAAAGAAGGGAAACAAAGGACACAAAAUUAAUAAAAAGGGUAGUUUCUGAAAGCUUGAAAACAAUGGGUAAAAAUAGCUUCUUCUACCACAAGUCUACUAGGUACGAGAGAGACAUAUUACCAAGCAGAUUAAUAAAAAAAAUGAAUACGUGGCAUGCAUGUUUGGUUUGCAAGGGAUUGUUAAAUUAAAAAAAAAAAAAAAAACAAAUUUUAAAAAGAAAUAGUGAACCUAAACUUCACCCCUGUCUAAGCAAAGACCACCAUAGUUUCUCUCUCUAAAAACCUUGUUUUCUUAAAUUGUUUAUUUCACCUAAUAUGAGAAAAAUCCCCUUGUUCUCCAAAUGGGGUGGCUUCAUUCCUUUUUCUCUCCCCUGAAGAAGCUCUGGAUUCGUCUCCACUCGACUCACAACAAGAGGAGAGGCAUAUACAUACUUUACGAAGAUGUCAAGUCCUGCCCUUACGAAGAUGUGCAUGUACUUUGGUCUAUAUUGGUUGAGUCGCAUCCACCGCCAGCUUUGCCGCCGCCAAAGUGAUGGUUCUCGAUAAAAACACACACCGGAAAUACAUCAUGAAAAUCAAGACUCGAAACUUACACGUAUAUUGUACAUAAUAAGAUAGAAAUUUUUCCUUUUUCUUGUUUUAAUUACGGAUUCAGCUUCUUGAUUUCCGCAUCGAGCUCACAUUUUCGUUUUUCACAUACAGAGUACGAUCAUAAAUUAUUGAAGUUCAAAAAAAAAAAAUCCGGGUUUUAUUUUCCAGUUACGAUAACUAUAUAUAUUUCGAUGAGAAGUGAUCGAAGGAAAAAGCAACGUUGCAUCAAGAGUUCUUAGCUUACCAAUAAAUCUUUAAAUGGCUUUCUGUUGCCUUGUCAAUUUCCAGCAGCUGACAAUCGAAAGUUCGACGGCUCCUUCACAACUUCCGGAAGGUAAAAGGUUGACUAACGAUAGGUACUGAAUGGGUGCAACACAACCUAUAAAAGUAUUUCAAUAUCCAUCGCUGUAAUAAUAUUUAGAUGAUUAGAAAGAGUCGAGCAGUCAUCGGUGAUGAUUGUGGGCCCACCCCCGAAAAGUUUAAUGCAUUAACCAAACAUCAAAUAAGACAUAAUUGUUUAACUAA